AAGCGUCGGACCGAGGAUACCUCCCCUUCUUCUGAUGAGUCGAUGCAAUCGAACAUGCCGGCUUUCAAAACGGCUCCCGGCUUGCAAGUAAAGCCCAGCAAGAGGGCAAAGAAGAAUAAGCCGUCCCAAGAUCCGGUGGUUACUGAACCGGUGCUUGACUCAUCCGUUCCAGACAGCCCCACUCAUCAUCCACCGCCUGAACCGACUUCUGACAUU